rnacentral:lncRNA from 1 species
GCGACGGAGCCCGGCUCCCGUAGGAGUCCGGGCGGAGUUGCUCUGUGGUCGAUGUCGGCGACGGAGCCCGGCUCCCGUAGGAGCCCGGGCGGAGUUGUCUUCUUGUGGAGAACUUCGGCUGAGGGUAUUUUAUACCCAACACCAGUCCCCCUACUUUCGAGUUUGAAUUUCGAAUGAAGGAAGUACAGAGAGACUGGCA